UCAGCUGCUCCAUAAGUUCCCACACGAAUUGCUUGAUUCAUUGAAGAAGACGAAAGAAGCAGCCCGAAAUUGGGUCUGUAGCUCAGUUGGUUAGAGCGCACCCCUGAUAAGGGUGAGGUCGGCAGUUCGAAUCUGCCCAGACCCACCAAUUUUGUGUGGGAAACGCCUGUAGAAAUACGGGGCCAUAGCUCAGCUGGGAGAGCGCCUGCCUUGCACGCAGGAGGUCAACGGUUCGAUCCCGUUUGGCUCCACCACUACUGCUUCUGUCUGUAUAAAGCUUAGAAAUGAGCAUUCCAUCAAUGCGAUGGUGAAUGUUGAUUUCUAGUCUUUGACUAGUUCGUUCUUUAAAAAUUUGGGUAUGUGAUAGAAAGAUAGACUGAACGUUACUUUCACUGGUAACGGAUCAGGCUAAGGUAAAAUUUGUGAGUUACUCAAAUUGAGUAUUAUCGAAUUUUCGGCGAAUGUCGUCUUCACAGUAUAACCAGAUUGCUUGGGGU
rnacentral:tRNA from 1 species